CAGUUCCUUGCCGUGCAGAUUCCCUGCCAUCAUCUUUUUUCCACAGCUCAGCUGCUAGCAGAGAAUUUUUGCAAUUGGGGGAACACAUCUGUUCUCUCUCCUUUUAACAUUGAGGAUGCUGCUCUCACCAACUCUGGCUGUUCUGGAGGAGUUUGGUGGGUAAAGUCAGAGGCAUCAGACAGCACUGGAGCUGUACCUUGUGCAUGACCUCUGCCAGUCAGCUGGUCGGUUGGCCAGAGUUUCUCAUCAAGGAGUACAUGCUGUUUGCUCCCCAGAUGGACAGGCUGUAUGAGUAACAAAUCCACAGAGCCUGGGACACAAGUUGUAGUGCUGUGGAUCCUCUCCCUCCAGAGAUGCUCCUUGGACACUGCUUCCAUGUGCCUGUGCUGGAGCUGCCAUGGGGCCGGUGCUUGGUGGGAGCUUUAGAUGCUGGAGAUGAUGCUGGAGGUUGCUGCUUUAUGGGCUUGUUGUGAAGAGCCUGACUAUCCUGCCUUGCACAAUGCACUGACCCAGCUCCCAAGGACAAGGCUCUCCAGGAAUCUUCAGGUGUUUUGCAUGGAAAAUUGCUGCCCUUGUAAUUGUCUGCAGGUUAUAAAAGUUUAAGAGAAGAUUUCAUGUCCUGUUCUUGCUGAUAAGCAAAUGGCCACGUGGAUUAACAAAUGGAGGAGCAAAGCCUCCAGAGGAGGAGUGAAACCAGUGUAUUCUGUCAAGAGGAGAGUGUGGUUUUGACAAACAUGGGUGCUUCUCUACUGAUGCAAUGUCAGCACAGCCCUUGGCUGUGAAGUCAUCUAGAGAUCAACUGCAUCCAGGUUCAACCCCCCCGAGCCUGAGGCCGCUUGCUACACCAAAAUGUUCAAUCCCACAUUUGAAUAAAGUGAAUAAAUCCAGCCAUACUGCUAAACAUAUGGUGGAGAUGAGAGUGUGGAGAGGAACAAAUAAAUGCCCUAAGCAUCUGGUCAGGGCGAUUGCUCCAGGGGAUGCCUUGGCCCUGUCUGUCCAUCCAUGGCUGAGCACUUCUUGUAGCAUUCAGACAGACUGUGACACUCCAGGGAAACCAAAAUGUCCAGCUGCUGCAGCAUGGUCAGGAGCAGAGAGAACUGGAACGUGGUGUGUUCUCAGCUCUGAACUAAGGGACUGGCAGCCUGGGCCGUGUGGGGGGAUUGUUGCAGUGGUGUGUGUUAAUUUUGAACCUCUUCAGGAAAAAGCACAUCACUUCCUUCACGCCCUCCCUGGCCUCUCCUGGAGGCACAGGGGCUGUUGUGGCAGUACAGCCCCAGAGGAUGUGCACAAGAUCCUGCCUCUCCUCUGCCCGCAGUGCUCCUGGUGGCUCCCUGCUGCAACAUGCAGCCUUGCUCAUGGGUUUGUGGAGUGCUCUGGCCCCCAGAACCUCAGGUAUCAGUGUGGGUUGGCAGCCACUCUUUGCUGGCUUGUUCCUGGCCCCUGCCUGCCCUGCUCCAUCUUUGCUUCUCCUCCUUGCUGUCUCUCAUUUCCCCUUCUCUCCUUAUCAGCUUUGAAGUCCAUAAAUGCAUCAGUCCAAUCCCUGCCCAUCUCAGAGCUGUAGACCCAGGGAGUUACCUCAGUUCUUGCAGGAAGACCAGACUGGUGCCUUCUGUCCCUCCAGGGGCAGCUGACAUUGGCCACUGUCACUGCCCAUCACCCUGGGGCCUCAGCAGCAGGGCGCCUUGUGCAUUUGUUUCAGAAAUGGUUUUAUUUUGUACCUCCACGUUGUUGCUAGUCUGGUGCCUCAUGAAAACACCCACAGCCAUAUAAAACUUUUCCCUUUUUGAUAGCCAGCUUUGCUAAUUCUUUUAGACUCUUACCCCUGAAAACAGCAGAUGGCUUCUGACCAAAAAGUCACUCUAUCAAUAUAAUGCUUAAUGCUAGGGGAUAAGACUGCUGCUUUACUAUGCAUCCUGGGUGCACAAACCCAGUUCACUUCAUCAUCUCUGAGCUCCCUUCACUUGCCACCUGUUAUCCUGCUCCUGUGGAUCAGUGUGCUCCCAGGGAAUCUCUGUUUCCAGUGCUGUGGUGGGCAGUGCUCACUGCUCACCUGCAGCCUGAGCUGGCUCAAGGUGUGCAGCAGAGGCUUCUGCAAAUGCUUCCUGCUGCAAGGGUUCUCCCCAAAACUUUGUCUGGCAAUAUUCAUAUCCCAAACUUCUGAGUUUAAAACCAUCCCUGAGUGUUACAGAUUGGUCACCAGGUCACCCAGUCCUUCUGUUUUGGUACUGCUCUCAAGCUCCGCUGGCUGCUGAGGUAAAAAACCUCCAGAAAUUACAUUCUUUUGCUUCUUUAUUUUCAGCAGAACAUUUUUUGUAAAAAUCAACAUCACGUUGCAGCAUUUGCAAUCCAGAUGUUGGUGCUUUUUGUUAAUGAAAAAAGACCCUGAAGUUAAUUGACUGUAAGGUGAUGAUAUGUUAAAAUGUAAAAAACAAAGCCAAGAAGACCGUUCCUGUAUUCUGCACUGGCUGAGCUCUUAGAAAUGCAGGAAGAGAAUA